rnacentral:rRNA from 1 species
GUGACUGCGUACCUUUUGUAUAAUGGGUCAGCGACUUAUAUUCUGUAGCAAGGUUAACCGUAUAGGGGAGCCGCAGGGAAACCGAGUCUUAACUGGGCGUUAAGUUGCAGGGUAUAGACCCGAAACCCGGUGAUCUAGCCAUGGGCAGGUUGAAGGUUGGGUAACACUAACUGGAGGACCGAACCGACUAAUGUUGAAAAAUUAGCGGAUGACUUGUGGCUGGGGGUGAAAGGCCAAUCAAACCGGGAGAUAGCUGGUUCUCCCCGAAAGCUAUUUAGGUAGCGCCUCGUGAACUCAUCUUCGGGGGUAGAGCACUGUUUCGGCUAGGGGGUCAUCCCGACUUACCAACCCGAUGCAAACUACGAAUACCGAAGAAUGUUAUCACGGGAGACACACGGCGGGUGCUAACGUCCGUCGUGAAGAGGGAAACAACCCAGACCGCCAGCUAAGGUCCCAAAGUCAUGGUUAAGUGGGAAACGAUGUGGGAAGGCACAGACAGCCAGGAUGUUGGCUUAGAAGCAGCCAUCAUUUAAAGAAAGCGUAAUAGCUCACUGGUCGAGUCGGCCUGCGCGGAAGAUGUAACGGGGCUAAACCAUGCACCGAAGCUGCGGCAGCGACGCUUAUGCGUUGUUGGGUAGGGGAGCGUUCUGUAAGCCUGCGAAGGUGACCUGUGAGGGUUGCUGGAGGUAUCAGAAGUGCGAAUGCUGACAUAAGUAACGAUAAAGCGGGUGAAAAGCCCGCUCGCCGGAAGACCAAGGGUUCCUGUCCAACGUUAAUCGGGGCAGGGUGAGUCGACCCCUAAGGCGAGGCCGAAAGGCGUAGUCGAUGGGAAACAGGUUAAUAUUCCUGUACUUGGUGUUACUGCGAAGGGGGGACGGAGAAGGCUAUGUUAGCCGGGCGACGGUUGUCCCGGUUUAAGCAUGUAGGCUGGUUAUCCAGGCAAAUCCGGAUAAUCAAGGCUGAGGUGUGAUGACGAGGCACUACGGUGCUGAAGUAACAAAUGCCCUGCUUCCAGGAAAAGCCUCUAAGCAUCAGGUAACACGAAAUCGUACCCCAAACCGACACAGGUGGUCAGGUAGAGAAUACCAAGGCGCUUGAGAGAACUCGGGUGAAGGAACUAGGCAAAAUGGUGCCGUAACUUCGGGAGAAGGCACGCUGGUGUGUAGGUGAAGUCCCUGCGGAUGGAGCUGAGACCAGUCGAAGAUACCAGCUGGCUGCAACUGUUUAUUAAAAACACAGCACUGUGCAAACACGAAAGUGGACGUAUACGGUGUGACGCCUGCCCGGUGCCGGAAGGUUAAUUGAUGGGGUUAUCCGUAAGGAGAAGCUCUUGAUCGAAGCCCCGGUAAACGGCGGCCGUAACUAUAACGGUCCUAAGGUAGCGAAAUUCCUUGUCGGGUAAGUUCCGACCUGCACGAAUGGCGUAAUGAUGGCCAGGCUGUCUCCACCCGAGACUCAGUGAAAUUGAACUCGCUGUGAAGAUGCAGUGUACCCGCGGCAAGACGGAAAGACCCCGUGAACCUUUACUAUAGCUUGACACUGAACAUUGAGCCUUGAUGUGUAGGAUAGGUGGGAGGCUUUGAAGCGUGGACGCCAGUCUGCGUGGAGCCAACCUUGAAAUACCACCCUUUAAUGUUUGAUGUUCUAACGUUGGCCCCUUAUCGGGGUUGCGGACAGUGUCUGGUGGGUAGUUUGACUGGGGCGGUCUCCUCCCAAAGCGUAACGGAGGAGCACGAAGGUUAGCUAAUCCUGGUCGGACAUCAGGAGGUUAGUGCAAUGGCAUAAGCUAGCUUGACUGCGAGCGUGACGGCGCGAGCAGGUGCGAAAGCAGGUCAUAGUGAUCCGGUGGUUCUGAAUGGAAGGGCCAUCGCUCAACGGAUAAAAGGUACUCCGGGGAUAACAGGCUGAUACCGCCCAAGAGUUCAUAUCGACGGCGGUGUUUGGCACCUCGAUGUCGGCUCAUCACAUCCUGGGGCUGAAGUAGGUCCCAAGGGUAUGGCUGUUCGCCAUUUAAAGUGGUACGCGAGCUGGGUUUAGAACGUCGUGAGACAGUUCGGUCCCUAUCUGCCGUGGGCGCUGGAGAAUUGAGGGGGGCUGCUCCUAGUACGAGAGGACCGGAGUGGACGCAUCACUGGUGUUCGGGUUGUCAUGCCAAUGGCACUGCCCGGUAGCUAAAUGCGGAAGAGAUAAGUGCUGAAAGCAUCUAAGCACGAAACUUGCCCCGAGAUGAGUUCUCCCUGAGACUUUAAGUCUCCUGAAGGAACGUUGAAGACGACGACGUUGAUAGGCCGGGUGUGUAAGCGCAGCGAUGCGUUGAGCUAACCGGUACUAAUGAACCGUGAGGCUUAACCUU